GUGAGUCAUCGAAUCUUUGAACGCACCUUGCGCUCUAUGGUAUUCCGUAGAGCAUGCCUGUUUGAGUGCCGUGAAUUCUCCCAUCCCAAGCGGUUUUUAUCAAAGAAUUGCUAGGCGAAGGGGUUGAGAUGGGCGUUGUUAUAACUGCUUUUCUUCUCUAGAAAAGCUCGCCCGAAAAACAGCUAACGCCUCUGGGCCACUUUGCAUCCGCUUCUCUGAGGGGAGAAGCGGCCAAGCGCGCUCUGAUCAUCAGGCAUAGCAUGAUACGUCAUUUGCUAUGCUGUAGGAGAGCAUUUGGUU
rnacentral:misc_RNA from 1 species